rnacentral:lncRNA from 1 species
CCGUCCGUAACAAGCAUCCCACAUUUUUCUACAUGGAUUUGGCUUGCCAAGACAUCUGCUUUUAUUAGCAGCAGUUGAUCUGCCCGUAACGAGGGAAAAGUCUUGAUCCAGAUAGACAGAAGCAUAGCAAGGAGAAUGAUUAAAACAUCCAGAGAAUUUGGAGACAUGCAUACAGUGCUGAGGCAAAUGUUUUGCCAGUGCAACCUGGUAAUGAGCAGUUCCCUGAAGAUGGAGAGACUUUUUGAGAAUGGCAGCUCACUGCAAUUAAUACUAGAGGUAAGCAGACUAAGCAAUUCUUGCAAACCAAGGUCUCUUCUUUCCUUUAUGACCAAAAAAGACUAUUUUACUUAUUUCUUUAAUACACGCACACUGACAAGUAACUUCUACAUGACUGACUUACCUCUUGGAAUGGAUUUUUGUUUCGUGGAACUGAGCUAUAAAAAAAGAAAAACACCUACAACUUACAUCUUAUUAGAUAUUUAUAUUUCUAUUAGUAUUUUUAGUAGUAGUACCUGUGUUUAUGGAAUACUGAACAAUAUUAGACAAAAAUGUAAAGUAGAACAAUACUUGCCUUUCUGCAUUCAUCAGAGCUAUUUGAUUUAA